rnacentral:rRNA from 1 species
GACGAACGCUGGCGGCGUGCUUAACACAUGCAAGUCGAACGGAAAGGCCCUGCUUUUGUGGGGUGCUCGAGUGGCGAACGGGUGAGUAACACGUGAGUAACCUGCCCUUGACUUUGGGAUAACUUCAGGAAACUGGGGCUAAUACCGGAUAGGAGCUCCUGCUGCAUGGUGGGGGUUGGAAAGUUUCGGCGGUUGGGGCUGGACUCGGGGCUUAUCAGCUUGUUGGUGGGGUAGUGGCUUACCAAGGCUUUGACGGGUAGCCGGCCUGAGAGGGUGACCGGCCACAUUGGGACUGAGAUACGGCCCAGACUCCUACGGGAGGCAGCAGUGGGGAAUAUUGCACAAUGGGCGGAAGCCUGAUGCAGCAACGCCGCGUGCGGGAUGACGGCCUUCGGGUUGUAAACCGCUUUCGCCUGUGACGAAGCGUGAGUGACGGUAAUGGGUAAAGAAGCACCGGCUAACUACGUG